rnacentral:rRNA from 1 species
CCUACGGGUGGCAGCAGUGAGGAAUAUUGGUCAAUGGGCGCGAGCCUGAACCAGCCAAGUCGCGUGAGGGAUGACGGUCCUACGGAUUGUAAACCUCUUUUGCCGGGGAGCAAGCGUGCGUUCGUGAACGCGCGUCGAGAGUACCCGGAGAAAAAGCAUCGGCUAACUCCGUGCCAGCAGCCGCGGUAAUACGUAGGUGGCAAGCGUUAUCCGGAUUUACUGGGUGUAAAGGGCGUGUAGGCGGGAGUGCAAGUCAGAUGUGAAAACUAUGGGCUCAACCCAUAGCCUGCAUUUGAAACUGUACUUCUUGAGUGCUGGAGAGGCAAUCGGAAUGCCGUGUGUAGCGGUGAAAUGCGUAGAUAUACGGAGGAACACCAGUGGCGAAGGCGGAUUGCUGGACAGUAACUGACGCUGAGGCGCGAAAGCGUGGGGAGCAAACAGGAUUAGAUACCCCUGUAGUC